CCAGGUAAGUCGCCGGACCGGCCGCCUUGAUGGCGCACCGGCCCGGCUCGGGGUGAAGUCGCGCCACCGCUCAGCGGCGCGGCCGGGCAGCUCCCGCCCGAACCCGACAGCUCACCUCGUAGGCGUCGGAGAGGAACA
rnacentral:sRNA from 2 species